rnacentral:rRNA from 1 species
UACGGGGGGGGCAAGCGUUGUUCGGAAUUACUGGGCGUAAAGGGCUCGUAGGCGGCCAACUAAGUCAGACGUGAAAUCCCUCGGCUUAACCGGGGAACUGCGUCUGAUACUGGAUGGCUUGAAUCCGGGAGAGGGAUGCGGAAUUCCUGGUGUAGCGGUGAAAUGCGCAGAUAUCAGGAGGAACACCGGUGGCGAAGGCGGGUCUCUGGGAAGUAACUGACGCUGAGAAGCGAAAGCAUGGGUAGCAAACAGG